rnacentral:rRNA from 1 species
GACGAACGCUGGCGGCGUGCUUAACACAUGCAAGUCGAACGGUAAGGCUCCAGCUUGCUGGGGUACACGAGUGGCGAACGGGUGAGUAACACGUGGGUGACCUGCCCUGCACUUCGGGAUAAGCCUGGGAAACUGGGUCUAAUACCGGAUAGGACCAUGGUGUGGAUACUGUGGUGGAAAGUUUUUUCGGUGUGGGAUGGGCCCGCGGCCUAUCAGCUUGUUGGUGGGGUAAUGGCCUACCAAGGCGGCGACGGGUAGCCGGCCUGAGAGGGUGGACGGCCACAUUGGGACUGAGACACGGCCCAGACUCCUACGGGAGGCAGCAGUGGGGAAUAUUGCACAAUGGGCGGAAGCCUGAUGCAGCGACGCCGCGUGGGGGAUGACGGCCUUCGGGUUGUAAACUCCUUUCACCAUCGACGAAGGGUUUCUGACGGUAGAUGGAGAAGAAGCGCCGGCUAACUACGUG